rnacentral:lncRNA from 1 species
GGAAGUCGCUGUCGAUGACUAGUCGGACCUCACGAUGAGUGUGACAAACACAGACAGUAAACUGCAAUAAACAAUGGCAAACCAAGGGCUAAUGAGUCCAAGCAGCAAUGACAGCAGUCGCUGCGUUCAUGUUAGCACUGGUUUUGACGACUACCAAUGUACGGUGAUUCUCAUGGUGAAAAGGGCAACAGCUACAUUCUCUUUAGUGGGAUGUCUCUUCAUGCUGUUUGUGAUCUGGCUUUUCCGCAGAUACCACUCCUUGGCUCAGAAGAUGGUCGUGAGCCUGACUGUAGCUGCGUUCUUUGACAGCGUUGCCUACGUCAUGGGUGAGGACCAUCCCAAAGGACCGCUGUGCACCUUUCAAGCCUGGUGGCUUACAUACUUUGAUUGGAGUGCCCUGGCCUGGGUCAGUCUCAUCACCCUUAACCUCUACAUCAACCUAGUGAAGGAGACACGGACGGAGCAGUACCACAUAUUCUACCAUCUGUUGGCCUGGGGGGUUCCUCUCCUGAUGUCCUGCCUUCCCCUGAUUGGUGGGUUCUACGGUCCGGCUGGACCCUGGUGCUGGAUCACAGACAAUCACGUAGCCUGGAGAUUUGGAAUAUGGUACAUCCCACUCUUCACCCUCAUUUUCCUGAUGAUUUGCUGCUACAUUCGCAUCAUCUACGUGGCCAACGCGAGGAUGCGGUCGUGGUUUGGGACGUUCAACCCAGAGAGAGAGCGGCGGAAGGUCCUCCCCCCGCUGCCCCCUACCUUGUGGCCUCCGGAUCAAUGA